UUAAGAUGGACUGUGAAGAGGCUGAAGAGGUGGUUCAGUGGUUAUGAGUAUUUCAUGUUCUCUCAGGGGACUUUAGAGAUCUGCUCCCAGCAUGCACUCCUGCUGCUCACAACUGCCUGAAACUCCAGAUCCGGAUGAUCCAAAAAUUUUCCUGGCCUCUACAGACACCUAGCAUGUGUGUGCGUGCAGUGCACACACACACACACACACACACACACACACACACACACACACACACACACAUACCUAUAAAACAAUGGGCUAGGGAAAAUGUGCAGCUUUUGGAAUGCAUAGAGGCCAGGAGGAAGACAAAGGAACAAUUGUAGCAUAAGGACAAAGCAAGGCAAGGUGAUCAAGCAAGGGCUUUAAGGAUACUGAGUCUGCAUUUCAUUGGAUCUCCUGUAACCUGGAGCCUACUCACAAUACACUUUGAAGAAUCUACCUAAGAGACUUCAAGAGACUAUCUGGCUUAGACCUUGGUCUUCAGGGACCUGGCACUCCCAAGUCCUAGGCAUCUACAGCUUUUAGCUUCUACCUCACACUCUGAAACACUGCUUCAACUCUAAUGAAGGCAAGUACAUUUCUGCCAUCAGAAGGGAAAACAGCAAAGGGCGAGGAGGGAGUGAUGGAAGAAGUGGUGUAUUAACAAGAUUUGAUGUUGCACAGGAAUGAACAACAGGAAGACUGGUGAGGCAGAGCUUUCCAGAGGACUCAGAAGGCACAGAUUCCAGGCUGCUGCCUAGGAUCCCAUGAUUCCAGGCCCCCUCCAACCUCUGGGGUGCAUGUUUUAUUGCUGCCUGUCCAGGGGUCCUCUUCAUUUUCUCCUCUUCCAGUGACUUCAUUCUCUGUGCCAGUGAAAGCCAAGGAGCUGGGUUUUGUGUGCCAAGGAGCACAGCUGGGGCGACCCUGCCUUGGCUAAGCUUCCUGUGCCUGAAGAGAGAAAGGAACCUACGAAGCUCAGCCGGGGCUCUGGACAAGUUCCUGUGCCUUGAAGUUGCUAUCUAUGAGAUUGUGGUUAUGUGGAGAAAGAAAACAGAGCUGGAGAGCUUGAUCUGGAUAGCUGACCUGGAUUUUUCAGAAGCAGAUAAUGAAAUCUAAUAUAUUUUGGUCAGGUCAAUGAUAAGAGGUGAGAUUAUUAUGUGUCUUCUGGAACUAAUCCCUAGGUUGUAGAGUUUUGACCAAAAAUGUAAUGACAGAAAGUCAGAGAUCCUGAUGAAUAAGAAUACUCUGCAUUUGAAAAGCACUGCUGUUGACUAAGUCUACCCAUGCACUCAGCCCUAAAUGCACUGCAUGCUUUAUACAUUGCCAUAAUGCUUCAGGAUUUAAAAAACAAACAAACAAACAAACAAACAUUUUAAAGGUAAGAAAUAGAGACUCUGAGAAAUAGUGUAGCUUGCCCAAGCC